CUCGAGAGAGGCCCCGAGAUGGUACUGAGACACGACCCAGGCCCUAUGGGCGCAGCAGGCGAGAAACCUUUGCAAUGUGCGAAAGCACGACAAGGUUAAUCCGAGUGUCUCCUGCUAAAGGAGUCUUUUGUCAGUUGUAGAAUCACUGGUGAAUAAGGGGUGGGCAAGUUCUGGUGUCAGCCGCCGCGGUAAAACCAGCACCUCGAGUGGUCAGGAGGUUUAUUGGGCCUAAAGCAUCCGUAGCCGGUUGCAUAAGUUUUCGGUUAAAUCUAUGCGCUUAACGUAUAGGCCGCCGAAAAUACUGUGCAGCUAGGGAGUGGGAGAGGUACACGGUACUCGAUAGGAAGGGGUAAAAUCCUUUGAUCUAUUGAAGACCACCUGUGGCGAAGGCGGUGUACCAGAACACGUUCGACGGUGAGGGAUGAAAGCUGGGGGAGCAAACCGGAUUAGAUACCCGGGUAGUCCCAGCUGUAAACGAUGCAGACUCGGUGAUGCAUUGGCUUGUGGCCAAUGCAGUGCCGCAGGGAAGCCGUUAAGUCUGCCGCCUGGGNGUACGUACGCAAGUAUGAACUUAAAGGAUUGGCGGGGGAGCACCACAAGGGAUGAAGCCUGCGGUUCAAUUGGAUCAAC
rnacentral:rRNA from 1 species